UACGGGGGGGGCAAGCGUUGUUCGGAAUUACUGGGCGUAAAGGGCUCGUAGGCGGCCAACUAAGUCAGACGUGAAAUCCCUCGGCUUAACCGGGGAACUGCGUCUGAUACUGGAUGGCUUGAGUUUGGGAGAGGGAUGCGGAAUUCCAGGUGUAGCGGUGAAAUGCGCAGAUAUCAGGAGGAACACCGGUGGCGAAGGCGGGUCUCUGGGCCGUAACUGACGCUGAGGAGCGAAAGCAUGGGGAGCGAACAGG
rnacentral:rRNA from 1 species